AUUGAACGCUGGCGGCAGGCCUAACACAUGCACGUCGAACGAGUGGCGGACGGGUGCGUAAUGUCUGGGAAACUGCCCGAUGGAGGGGGAUCACUACUGGAAACGGUAGCUAAUACCGCAUACCAUCGGAUGUGCCCCGAUGGGAUUAGCUAGUAGGUGGGGUAACGGCUCACCUAUGCGACGAUCCCUAGCUGGUCUGAGAGGAUGACCAGCCACACUGGAACUGAGACACGGUCCAGAUUACUACGGGAGGGAGCAGUGGGAAAUAUGACACAGUGGGCGCAAGCCUGAUGCAGGCAUGCCGCGUAUAUGAAGAAGGCUUUCGGGUUGUAAAGUACUUUCAGCGGGGAGGCGUUACCCGCAGAAGAAGCACCGGCUAACUCCGUGCCAGCAGCCGCGGUAUAC
rnacentral:rRNA from 1 species